AUUGGCGGCGUGCUAUACAUGCAAGUCGAGCGAACAGAUAAGGAGCUUGCUCCUUUGAAGUUAGCGGCGGACGGGUGAGUAACACGUGGGUAACCUACCUAUAAGACUGGGAUAACUUCGGGAAACCGGAGCUAAUACCGGAUAACAUUUAGAACCGCAUGGUUCUAAAGUGAAAGAUGGUUUUGCUAUCACUUAUAGAUGGACCCGCGCCGUAUUAGCUAGUUGGUAAGGUAACGGCUUACCAAGGCGACGAUACGUAGCCGACCUGAGAGGGUGAUCGGCCACACUGGAACUGAGACACGGUCCAGACUCCUACGGGAGGCAGCAGUAGGGAAUCUUCCGCAAUGGGCGAAAGCCUGACGGAGCAACGCCGCGUGAGUGAUGAAGGGUUUCGGCUCGUAAAACUCUGUUAUUAGGGAAGAACAAAUGUGUAAGUAACUGUGCACAUCUUGACGGUACCUAAUCAGAAAGCCACGGCUAACUACGUGCCAGCAGCCGCGGUAAUACGUAGGUGGCAAGCGUUAUCCGGAAUUAUUGGGCGUAAAGCGCGCGUAGGCGGUUUCUUAAGUCUGAUGUGAAAGCCCACGGCUCAACCGUGGAGGGUCAUUGGAAACUGGGAAACUUGAGUGCAGAAGAGGAAAGUGGAAUUCCAUGUGUAGCGGUGAAAUGCGCAGAGAUAUGGAGGAACACCAGUGGCGAAGGCGACUUUCUGGUCUGUAACUGACGCUGAUGUGCGAAAGCGUGGGGAUCAAACAGGAUUAGAUACCCUGGUAGUCCACGCCGUAAACGAUGAGUGCUAAGUGUUAGGGGUUUCCGCCCCUUAGUGCUGCAGCUAACGCAUUAAGCACUCCGCCUGGGGAGUACGACCGCAAGGUUGAAACUCAAAGGAAUUGACGGGGACCCGCACAAGCGGUGGAGCAUUGUGUUUAAUUCGAAGCAACGCGAAGAUCUUACCAAAUCUUGACAUCCUUUGAAACUUCUAGAGAGAUAGAAGCCUUCCCCUUCGGGGGACAAAGUGACAGUGGUGCAUGUUGUCCGUCAGCUUCUGGUCUGAGAAUGUUAGUCAGUCCCGCAACGAGGCGCAACCUUAAGCUAAUGCCAUACAUAAGUUGGGCACUCUAAGGUGGACUGCGGGCAAACCGAAGAAGUGGAACU
rnacentral:rRNA from 1 species